UCUUGUUAAUGAACAUAGAUGGCUGAUGUGAAUACUUUUACGUCAUCACUGCAACCACUGUCACUACUGCUAUCCCCUCACCGUAACUACUCUCAUUAUCACUACCACCACCAGCACCACCACCACUUCACUCUUACAACCCCAACACUUAAGCAACUUUCACGCAAGAUCUCCGCUGUCUGAGGAGGCUGUGGGGGAGAGAGGUAGACGUGCCAGCCGUUCCCCUACAGAAAGAGCUCAGAACUUGUUCUGUUACCAGUCAGCGACCAAUCAAUGUGUCAACACCAUAUAAUAAUUACCAGCUUAGUGUGAGGACCAUGUGUCAAUUGUCUCUCCUUUCAUCCCUGCAUAUCUCUAUCAAUCUGUUUCCGACACUACUAGCCCAAACCAAGAAUUUGUCUAUUAUUGGGAUUAAAUGAGGAUUCUUUGAGAGUCCAGUGCAAACCAGCUCCAUGAAGUGUCUGAUGGGGCCACAUUUUGGGCACCAUCCUUCCAAGUGUCUCUCAAGGAAGACAUGCUCAUGGAAUCCCACUUUCAUUUCCUCCACCAAACCUGCUGAGAUGGAAGGAGAAGGCAUUGAGAAAUUAUUUAUGUUUGGUUGUUAAUAUGAACAAAAAAAUACAACAACAGAAAACUGCCAAAUGACACACUAAUUAAAAGAGCAUUUUCUUGAAUAA